AACAACUAAAAACUAGAAAUCAUUUGACAAUUUUAUCACCUCAAGGUCUAUACAGUUCAGUGAAUUCAGGUUCUACUUGAGUGAAUGGAUUGAGUUCUCAGUUCAACCACACUUUCUAAUAUCAGAUGCUACAAGCUUUGCCACAGCCUCUGCAUGAAUAGGAAGAAAAGCUUGAGGCCACACAUUCUGGGAUAAACUUGAUAUGCAUCCAGGAAAAUUCACAGGGAGCCAACACAUUCCCUCCUCUAAGAUGGGAUAAAGUGGGGCCAUUCAGAACACAAGCAGCAGAUCACUCCUUUGUCCCCUUCUGUCUUGAAGAAAUCUCAGUGAUUCCUCAUUUGCAAGCUUUUAACAGCAACUCUAUGGACUAAAUUAUCUAAAAAACUUGUGUAACCAAGUUUCAACACUUGGUGAAAUAUAAUACAACCCAGAUACAUAAUAAUUAAGCAUACAUCAUGGUCAAGGAGAUCACCUAGGUAGACUUAAUUUUCUCCAUGGCAUCUGACAAAACAAGGACAAGGCAAAGCACAAGACAUUGCUCACUUAAUAGCCCCUCAUCAUUCUGCCAGUCUCAUAAGAACCGCCAGCUACUGUUUCUUUAUUGAAGAUUCUUUGAGAGGUUUUCUUUAUGGCUUCAGCUUGCAGUAGAAGAUGUCUCAUGUUCCUUUUCCUUCUUCUGUGGCUUUUCCUUCUUCACAUUAAAACACUGUAACUGUUUGUUGCAUGAUUGUCUCAGUAAGAUGUUUUUUUUUAAACUAAGAAAAUCCUUUCCAGAAGCAAAUGAGCUGAAUAGAUAUCUAAUAAGAAAUCUUGCCUUGUUGAUGCCAUGUCAUGAGCAUCAGCUGGCCAAGAAUUCAUGCUGUGUUGUUCUAUUGGUAGCUUAUCCCUUUUCCUUCCAUGAAAGAUAUACAUUGCUAGCGUGUGAUGCCACCACUUGCUGUUGCCAUUGCCGUCAUCCCAACUACAUUGUCAAGCUCCUCUUUACUCUUUGGUGUCUCUCUCUGGGUUCCCAAUGACCAGUGUAAUGCUGUUGCAGGAAACUGUCGAUGAUUGCAAGCAAAAGUGUAAGGACAAAAGUUUCGAUGGUAAAAUUUAAUGGAAUUUCUUCUCUUUGAUUUUACAUAUUUGAUGGUAAGUAGAAGGCAAACUUAGUCUCUAGAAUCUAAUAGUUUGAAUAAUUUUGGUAAUAUUGUAACACAUUAUUAUACUGCAUAAGAUCGACUCGUGACAAAUGGUACUUUGAAUCUAAUAAGUUAAUUAUUCCGUUUCAUCGACUCAUGACAAAUGAUAUCAAAGCCUAUCUAGUAUUGCACAUGGUGCGAGGAUGACACGUCACAGCAUGGAGUCAUCAUCGGCUAUAGCUCAUGUGCACUAUAUAUUACACGGGUGUACUAAUAGACUUGAGCAUUUUGGACCAAUGAUAAAAUCUCAGCGAAGUUAAUGGGUCAAUUAUCCUAUCGGGCCGACUGGUGGAUCGCGAUAGUAAUGCUUGUUCCUUACAUUCCUGAAUAACCAAACGAUUAGGGCCUAAAGAUUUUCUUUUACCUUUCGACUAUGACUCAUGUACACUAUACAUAAGUGUACUUCUUGGCCUAAGCAUUUUGCGCCAAUGAUUCAAGCUCAACAAAGUUAAUGGGUCAAUUAUCCCAUCGGACCUGCUCAUGACUUAGAUAGUAAUGCUUAUUCAUUACAUUCCUGAAUAGCCAAGUGAUUAGGGCCCAAAGAUCUUCUUUUACCUUCUUUUCUCUAUACAGGAAAGGGCAUCACACAUCAUUCAAAAAUUCACAGGAAAAUAAUGGAGAAUAACCCCAGCUGACCAAAGCUGCAAUAGAAUGGAACCUGCAAAUGCUAGUAAUAAUGACUAGGAACCAAAGUGAUGAACGCAAAGAACCGAAGAAUCUUACGUGCUUCUCCUUGCAAAGCUUGGUCAAUGACCGUCAUUGGACGGAAGCAGCAAAAGAAUGUUGGCUAUGGGUUCGACCAGCUCGGUGCCCCAUCUCCAGGCACGCCCUCGUUUGCUCCUCCCUAAUCAUCACAACGAAGACAAGGAAUCGAGCUCAAAUAACAGCAACAACGAAAAGCAUACAAACCCUUGGAAAUGCUAGGGUUUUAGUCGAGCGUGCAAUUCGCAGAAACCAACUCCAAGAAUCGCAUGAACUCGGAAAACCUAAAUUCAUCGAGAAAAGAAACAUCCCUACCAAGCAGAAACUGAAAGUGAAUCGGAGAUGGAUGAAUGGGUCGGAACUUU
rnacentral:lncRNA from 1 species